UAGGGAAUCUUCGGCAAUGGGGGCAACCCUGACCGAGCAACGCCGCGUGAGUGAAGAAGGUCUUCGGAUCGUAAAACUCUGUUGUUAGAGAAGAACACGAGUGAGAGUAACUGUUCAUUCGAUGACGGUAUCUAACCAGCAAGUCACGGCUAACUACGUGCCAA
rnacentral:rRNA from 1 species